rnacentral:lncRNA from 1 species
AUCUGGGUUGCAUAUGGUGGCCAUAAGCUGUCCAUGGGCUUCUGAUGUGAAAAACAAACCUGCCCCCCUUUUGACCCUGUGCUGUACAGCAUCAGGGCAGUGAUUGCUGACCACAUAGUGGACCCUCUGGAAACAGAGGGCUCCGCGUCCAUGUCCAUGAGCCUUCAUGCCCAUCUGGCCAUCAGGCCUUGGGAAGCAGCACCCCAUAGCCUUGACACAGUUACAGAGAUGUCCUUGCCUUAGAAUGGAGUCAAAUAUGUACCCCCUGCAAGUCUCAUCUGCUGGAAGCACUGGCCUUGUUCAUCCUCAGGCUGCUGUGGUGCUGGUACUGGCCUCCUUCAUCCUCAGGCUGUGGUGCUAGAAGUCAUCCCUCUCCCAGGCCCCUUGGGAUCGACUGAGUGACGAGCAGUGAAGUUUGUCCUCCGUCUGAAUGGAUGCCAUCAUUGGACGUGAUGGAGCUCAGUGGAAUGCUGCUGCCUUCCCUCCCUUAGCUAGGCUGUCCCUGAUAAAGGAUGACAUCCAAGCCUCAGCACGACCGGCCAAACUUGAGAUGGUCGUCUCAGCACUGAUGCUGGGCCAACAAUUAGCCCCAUUUGUACAUUUUUACAAACCUUUUGGCAAUUUCCAAGAAUUGUCCACCUCCCCUCCCCAUUGAACUAAAGAAACUUCUUGUCUCAUGGAUACUCAGAAUACCAAUCAAGGCAACAGAUGCUUUUAUUUUAACUAAGUACACAGUACGGAUCUCACAGGGACACUCCUUAUCCCCUGCAGAGUUCCAGACACUACUGAUGGUGACCAAGGCAACAUUUCAUCAGAAAACACAGUGCUGGGCUUGUGAAGAAGGUGUCCAGUAGAGCUUCCACUGCCCCUAUAGGCUGCAGGCAGCUGCUUUAGUUGAGAGACUGAGCUCCUCAAAGAAUUCCUAUUUAAGUUACAAAGCAGCGAGUGGAUGCCCUGCUGGGUUCCACUGUUGCCACAGCCUUUGAUUACUCUAAGUUCAUGCUCCUUAGGAAAGUGCACUUUUUACACCAAUGCUACACAGUUCUCUCAGUUGCCUUUACUGGUCAUCAAGGAGUUCACAUUUUUGACAACCAUUCAGUCCUGGACUGUCCAAGGGGUGGAGGUAGCUCUGUACAGGAAGCUGCCUGCUGCCUGUGGAUCACUAAUAUCAGACUUGCCCAAAAACUCACUGAAACCACUCAUGAAAACCAAUGCAUGGGGAAUGUGUGACGUUACCCAGAUAUUUACGAACACGCUUGUGCUGCCAGAGACCCCAGAUCUCU